GGGCAGACAGCGUGUUGUUGUUGUUGUUGGUAUUGAAGAGUAGGGACCACACCAACAUUUAACUGGACGCAAGUGAUAUUUGCAGUGAAUGAUUGAUCAUCAGGUGGGAUCUUAUGGGAUCAUCAGGCCUUAGGAGUCCUUCUGCUUCCUGGACACCAUCAUCACCCAGGACCUCAAGUGGGAGCUGAACAUCAGCUCCCUCACCAAGAAAGCGCAGCAGAGGA